AGAGGUGAAAUAUCAGAACUAAAGAAGCGAAAUGAAGAACUAAAUAAGCAGAUUUACAUUAUCUAGAAAUCUAUAUUUGGAGGCAGAACAAAAAUUAGCAGAUCAUAUGGAUAAUAACCGUAAACUAAAUCAUAGAUUGUUAGCCGCUGAACAGAGGGUAUCAGAUGCCAAUCAAAAGAGGAGGCUAUGCAAGUAUUAGGUUGUCUGAUCUGGACAAUGUUAGUACAUACAGAACUCCUAGACGCACCAUACUUAAAGCAGACUCCACUUAAUCUGACAAUAAUGCACGACAUUAUGCUAUUAAUCAUUGUAUUUAUUCACCAAUCCAUUCAAUAAUGUAUAUCUACAAAAUAAAAUAAUAAAGAUUAUUUAAAAAUGUAUAA